ACAUUCUGCUUCCGUAAAAUCCCAACUUACCAUAUUUGUGCUAAGACGGGCUGAGGUAACCCAGAUUGGAAAAAGAAGUUCCUUGCUUGAUCACCUGUAAACAUGUCCACAGCGUAACUGUCCAUGAAAAGGGACAGGAGAUCUCAGCGGUGGAUUCAGAAAACUGAGGAUUCAGAAACUGAGGUUCACCAGCACAGGCAACCCUCUUAACAACCUGGAAUGCAUAUCUUCUACCCUGCCUUUCCCAAGAAAUGCAAGACUGUUCUCGUGUGAAUGUAGCACAUAGUAUAUGCUUUGAGAAAUUUCUAAAACCAUAAACAUGCAAGCUUCAAA